CGCACAUGAUUAUACCAGGCGCGCAACGCGCACAGCGCCACGCCGUUUUCGUGUGUGUACAGAGUGUGGCGAGGAUGUAAGGAACGCGCGAUGCGUCGUUUUGCUAUGGCGAUGGCCAUUGGGUAGCGGGUAUGCGCGGCGCGGCAUCCAAGGUUUUCGCCGAUGCCGGAAGCCGGCCGUCAUGCAACAGUGCUAUUUUACGUCCCCGACCAUAGUUUAAUACACUCGCUCUUAAUUCGAACCCGCAUCCUACGUUUAUAUGUGGAUAAUGAUAUAAAACCUUAAAAUAUUUGCAGAAUAUCAACAUACUCGUAUGAGAAGUUCAUAGAACUUAGAAACAUCUGACCUGCUGGUAAGGGACAAUUUGCUACAAGAUUGCCAAUGUUUUGGGAUUUUACUUUUGGGAACUCUAACGGUUUUUUAUUAGGAUGAUUAUAGAAUGGUAACUAAGAAGAUUAACUGGUUAGAUUAUUCGAUCUUUGCAAGAUAUAAGAAAACGGAAACUAGAUACUAAGCAGCUCUCCGGAAUUCAUUUGGCAAUAUGUUGAUCACAAUUUACUAUUGACCAAACUAAGAAAUUGUCAAGUUUUUGGUUUUUUUUUAAUAAGAAAGUAAAAAUUAAUUACAUUUUUACUAAAAACUACAGGGACGAACUCGCUACUAUAAAAUAAAAAGAAUUCUGUAUCAGAUUACCAACAAAUGAUUAAAAAUAGUUUUUUU